GGCUGGUACCAAGGUAGUGAGUUAUCUCAUUUGAUUGUUCACAGCCAGUUACAGAUUGAACUCCUUGUUCUACUACUUUCCCUCGUCUCUCUGCUGCACUUGACUAGUCUAAA
rnacentral:Y_RNA from 1 species